AGUCCUCGGGCCUCUNGGAUAACCUCUGUCCUGAACUCCACCCUUGAAUACACUACCUUUGUUGCUUUGGCGGGCCGCCUCGUGCCGCGGCUUNCGCUGUUGAGUGCCCGCCAUAUGACCCCAACUCUUGUUUUUAGUGAUGUCUGAGGUACUAUAUAAUAAUUAAAACUUUCAACAACGGAUCUCUUGGUUCUGGCAUCGAUGAAGAACGCAGCGAAAUGCGAUAAGUAAUGUGAAUUGCAGAAUUCAGUGAAUCAUCCAANCUUUGAACGCACAUUGCGCCCUCUGGUAUUCCGGGGGGCAUGCCUGUUCNAGCGUCAUUAUAACCACUCAAGCUCUCGCUCGGUAUUGGGGUUCGCGGUUUCCCGGCCCCUAAAAUCUGUGGCGGUGCCUGUCGGCUCUACGCGUAGUAAUACUCCUCCCGAUUGAGUCCNGUGGGUCUACUUGCCAGCAACCCCUAAUUUUUUUAAAGUUGACCUCGGAUCAGGUAGGGAUACCCGCUGAACUUAAGCAUAUCCCUUAGCGGAUGAAAAGAAACCAGCAAGGAUUACCUCAGNAACGGCGAGUGAAUCGGUAACAGCUCAGAUUUGAAAGCUGGCU
rnacentral:rRNA from 1 species